AUUGAACGCUGGCGGCAGGCCUAACACAUGCAAGUCGAACGGUAACAGAAAGUGCUUGCACUUUGCUGACGAGUGGCGGACGGGUGAGUAAUGCUUGGGAAUUUGCCUUGAGGUGGGGGACAACAGUUGGAAACGACUGCUAAUACCGCAUAAUUGCUACGGCACAAAGGGGGCUUUUAGCUCUCGCCUUUAGAGAAGCCCAAGUGGGAUUAGGUAGUUGGUGAGGUAAAGGCUCACCAAGCCUACGAUCCCUAGCUGGUCUGAGAGGAUGAUCAGCCACACUGGAACUGAGACACGGUCCAGACUCCUACGGGAGGCAGCAGUGGGGAAUAUUGCACAAUGGGGGAAACCCUGAUGCAGCCAUGCCGCGUGUGUGAAGAAGGCCUUCGGGUUGUAAAGCACUUUCAGCGAGGAGGAAGAUGUAGUAGUUAAUACCUGCUAUGUUUGACGUUACUCGCAGAAGAAGCACCGGCUAACUCCG
rnacentral:rRNA from 1 species